CUACGGGACGCAGCAGUGGGGAAUAUUGCACAAUGGAGGAAACUCUGAUGCAGCAACGCCGCGUGGAGGAUGACACUUUUCGGAGUGUAAACUCCUUUUAUAUAGGAAGAUAAUGACGGUACUAUAUGAAUAAGCACCGGCUAACUCCGUGCCAGCAGCCGCGGUAAUACGGAGGGUGCAAGCGUUACUCGGAAUCACUGGGCGUAAAGAGCGUGUAGGCGGAUAGAUAAGUCAGGAGUGAAAUCCUAUGGCUCAACCAUAGAACUGCUCUUGAAACUGUCUAUCUAGAAUAUGGGAGAGGUAGAUGGAAUUUCUGGUGUAGGGGUAAAAUCCGCAGAGAUCAGAAGGAAUACCGAUUGCGAAGGCGAUCUACUGGAACAUUAUUGACGCUGAGACGCGAAAGCGUGGGGAGCAAACAGGAUUAGAUACCCUUGUAGUC
rnacentral:rRNA from 1 species